GUUGUAUGGUUAAGUGACUAAGCGUACACGGUGGAUGCCUUGGCAGUCAGAGGCGAUGAAGGACGUGCUAACCUGCGAAAAGCUGUGAGAAGUCGGUAAGAGACGUUAGACUCACAGAUGUCCGAAUGGGGAAACCCACCUGAUUUAUCAGGUAUCGUAUGAUGAAUACAUAGUCAUACGAGGCGAACCGGGAGAACUGAAACAUCUAAGUACCCCGAGGAAAAGAAAUCAACCGAGAUCCCCUUAGUAGCGGCGAGCGAACGGGGGCUAGCCCUUAAGUUGAUAAAGAGUUAGUGGAACGCUCUGGAAAGUGCGGCGAUACAGGGUGAUAGCCCCGUACACGAAAAGGCUUUAUCAAUGAAAACGAGUAGGACGGGACACGUGGUAUCCUGUUUGAACAUGGGGGGACCAUCCUCCAAGGCUAAAUACUCCUGACUGACCGAUAGUGAACCAGUACCGUGAGGGAAAGGCGAAAAGAACCCCUGUUAGGGGAGUGAAAUAGAACCUGAAACCGUGUACGUACAAGCAGUGGGAGCCCACUUGUUGGGUGACUGCGUACCUUUUGUAUAAUGGGUCAGCGACUUACAUUCUGUAGCGAGGUUAACCGAAUAGGGGAGCCGUAGGGAAACCGAGUCUUAACUGGGCGAAUAGUUGCAGGGUGUAGACCCGAAACCGGGCGAUCUAUCCAUGAGCAGGUUGAAGGUUGGGUAACACUAACUGGAGGACCGAACCCACAAAUGUUGAAAAAUUUGGGGAUGACUUGUGGAUCGGAGUGAAAGGCUAAUCAAGCUCGGAGAUAUCUGGUUCUCCUCGAAAGCUAUUUAGGUAGCGCCUCGAGCGAAUACCAUUGGGGGUAGAGCACUGUUAAGGCUAGGGGGUCAUCCCGACUUACCAACCCUUUGCAAACUCCGAAUACCAAUGAGUACUACUCGGGAGACACACGACGGGUGCUAACGUCCGCCGUGAAAAGGGAAACAACCCAGACCACCAGCUAAGGUCCCAAAGUCAUGGUUAAGUGGAAAACGAUGUGGAAAGGCAUAGACAGCUAGGAGGUUGGCUUAGAAGCAGCCACCCUUUAAAGAAAGCGUAAUAGCUCACUAGUCGAGUCGGUCUGCGCGGAAGAUGUAACGGGGCUAAACCAUGCACCGAAGCUGUGGACUUGCACUAAGUGCAAGUGGUAGAGGAGCGUUCUGUAAGCCGUUGAAGGUAUCUCGUGAGGGGUGCUGGAGGUAUCAGAAGUGCGAAUGCUGACAUAAGUAACGAUAAGGGGAGUGAAAAACUUCCCCGCCGGAAGACCAAGGGUUCCUAUCCCAUGCUAAUCAGGGUAGGGUAAGUCGGCCCCUAAGGCGAGGGCGAAAGCCGUAGUCGAUGGGAAACGGGUUAAUAUUCCCGUACCGACAAUACUGCGAUGGGGGGACGGAGAAAGCUAGGCAGGCAUGGCGUUGGUAGUCCAUGUGAAAGUGCGUAGGAAGGGGGAUUAGGCAAAUCCGGUUCCCUAUAUUCUGAGACACGAGACGAGCCACUACGGUGGUGAAGCUGUUGACGCUACGCUUCCAGGAAAAGCCUCUAAGCUUCAGGUAUUGUUGACCGUACUCGAAACCGACACAGGUGGUCAGGUAGAGCAUACCAAGGCGCUUGAGAGAACUCUGGUGAAGGAACUAGGCAAAAUAGUACCGUAACUUCGGGAGAAGGUACGCUCUUGUGGGUGAAGGACUUGCUCCGUAAGCCUAUGAGAGUCGCAGUGACCAGCUGGCUGCAACUGUUUAUUAAAAACACAGCACUCUGCAAACUCGUAAGAGGACGUAUAGGGUGUGACACCUGCCCGGUGCCGGAAGGUUAAUUGAUGGGGUUAGCGCAAGCGAAGCUCUUGAUCGAAGCCCCGGUAAACGGCGGCCGUAACUAUAACGGUCCUAAGGUAGCGA
rnacentral:rRNA from 1 species